rnacentral:rRNA from 1 species
GACGAACGCUGGCGGCGUGCCUAAUACAUGCAAGUCGAACGAGUUGCGAACGGGUGAGUAACGCGUGGUAACCUGCCUCAUAGCGGGGGAUAACUAUUGGAAACGAUAGCUAAUACCGCAUACCAUCAGAUUUGCCCAGAUGGGCUUAGCUUGUUGGGGGGGUAACGGCUCACCAAGGCGACGAUCCCUAGCUGGUCUGAGAGGAUGACCAGCCACACUGGAACUGAGACACGGUCCAGACGCCUACGGGAGGCAGCAGUGGGGAAUAUUGCACAAUGGGCGCAAGCCUGAUGCAGCCAUGCCGCGUGUAUGAAGAAGGCCUUCGGGUUGUAAAGUACUUUCAGCGGGGAGGCGUUACCCGCAGAAGAAGCACCGGCUAACUCCGUGCCAGCAGCCGCGGUAAUAC